rnacentral:rRNA from 1 species
AGGGAAGAGCCCAGCGCCGAAUCCCCGGCCUCCGGUCGCGGGAAAUGUGGCGUUUAGGAGUGAGCGUGCCGGGAUCGGAGGUGGCAGCAAGUCCCCCUGACCGGGGCCUGUCCAGAGCGGGUGCGAGGCCCAUAGCCGCCGCCUCCGUCUCGGAUGCGAUCUCCUGGGAGUCGGGUUGCUUGGGAGUGCAGCCCUAAUCGGGUGGUAAACUCCACCUAAGGCUAAAUACCGCCGUGAGACCGAUAGCAAACAAGUACCGUGAGGGAAAGUUGCAAAGAACUUUGAAGAGAGAGUUCAAGAGUACGUGAAACUGCUCAGAGGUAAACGGGUGGGCCCUCGAAAUCCUGUGGCGAGAGGGUUCAACUCGGCACGGUGGACGCGGCGCUGGAAGUCGAGCAGGGCUUCCCGGGACGGGUGCCGUCCAGUGCUGCGAUUCGCCGGGUCGGGCGCAUUCGUCUCUCGUCCGAAGGACGCUGCAGCCGGUUCGGAAGUGCAAGCGCGACGGCCUGAAGGUCGGGACGACGCAGGUGGCCGGCGGCUCGCCUCGUGCGGGUUGUCGGUUGUUAGCGGUCCCGUCAGUGGCUCGUCUCCGGACCGUGGUGUCGCGAGUCCCUAGCGGACUCCUCGUCUCCACCCCAGAGUCGCGGGACAGAUGGUGGCAGGGAUGUAGAGUUUGAAUUUCCCUCGCACUCCCUCGGAGUGGUGGGAGAGGCUCGGCGCCCCGUUGGUUGCCACGCGCCCGUGGGGGACCGGAGGCUGGCAGCGAGUAGGUCGGUCACCCACCCGACCCGUCUUGAAACACGGACCAAGGAGUCUAACAUGUGCGCGAGUCAAUGGGUCUUGAACAGGCCCAGGGGCGCAAUGAAAGCGAAGGACUGCCGAGCGCAGUCUGAGUGGGGAUCCUCUCCUCUCGGGGGGAGGCGCACCCGCGACCCGUCCCACCCGGCUCGCCGGAGGGGCGGAGUCUGAGCGUACACGUUGGGACCCGAAAGAUGGUGAACUAUGCCCGGACAGGACGAGGCCAGAGGAAACUCUGGUGGAGGUCCGCAGCGGUUCUGACG